rnacentral:misc_RNA from 1 species
GAUGAAGAACGUAGCGAAAUGCGAUAAGUAGUGUGAAUUGCAGAAUUCAGUGAAUCAUCGAAUCUUUGAACGCACAUUGCGCCCUUUGGUAUUCCUUAGGGCAUGCCUGUUCGAGCGUCAUUUAAACCUUCAAGCUCAGCUUGGUGUUGGGUGACUGUCCGCUUCACCGCGGACUCGCCUCAAAAUUAUUGGCGGCCGGUACAUUGGCUUCGAGCGCAGCAGAAACGCGAACUCGGGCCCGUCGUAUUGGCUCCCAGAAGCUAUCUUCACAAUUUUGACUCGGAUCAGGUAGGGAUACCCGCUGAACUUAAGCAUAUCAAUAAGCGGAGGA